UUACUGAAUACAAAACAGAUAAUAUAAGAAAAACCACAAAGGAAGAUAGAUAUAAAAAUACCCCAAAACCAAGGAAUCAGGGUAGAUGGAGACAUAACCAUCAGAACCCCCCACCUCAGAGGGGAAAUAUGAGAAGAUUUGAGGAAAGAGGAAACUGGAAUUCGAAUAAGAGACACCAACAGACUAGAAUAUUCAGACAACCAAUAAUACAUUCCCAAACACCAAACUCCAAAAGCUAUAGUGAUGUAGUGAGGGAGGGUACCCCAAAACAAAGGGCCAAAGAAGGAAGAAAUUUAAAGAAAAUUACAACGAAAAGGCCAGAAUUACCAAUAGCCACAACCAGUCACCAAGAAGCAUAUAGAUCAAUACCCCCCAGAUACCCCUUGUGGCAGCUACCCCGAGAGAAGAGGAGUUUCCGCCAUCAGAGAUGACCUUUCUGAACAAUGCUACAAUAUUCCUAAGCAGCAUUCCCAAGCGGUAAUCAAAUUAGGUAUAGCGGUUCCCUCAAUCACGAGACGAGGCUCUGUGUUGAGGGUAAGCAGGAACUGAUUUUAAUGGGACAACACACGGCCUUAAUGUGAAUUCCCAUGCAAGGGGUUUCCUUUUACAUAUUUCAGGGGCAUUCCCCACUGGACCUGAGAGUAGACUGACACAAAGUACACAACAUAAUUACAUUAACUCUCAGGUCCAGG